rnacentral:misc_RNA from 1 species
UAAUCAUCUUUCUCAUACACUAAAAAUUAAUUAAUAAGUAAUUAAUGGUAUGAGAUUUGCACAUAUUCCUGCAUAGAAAAUUCCGAUUUGUAGGUUCAACUUCUUCCACUUGAAUUCAAGAAUUAUCGAGCAAAUUUAUAUGGUGUGAAAAACCAACCAAACAAGCCACAUUAACUAGUUUAUCAUUGAUAUUCAUUUAAUAUUCAGUUAAAAUGUGUAAACCCACAAAAAGUUAUGACUACAACACUUCAAGCUCUUCAUCCUUAUUAAUGAAGCAAGACAUGUUAAAAUGAUUUUAAAAAAAAAUUGUUGCUACGUAUCUCAUAUGCUAAGCUUUUCUCACAAUAAGUCCGUUGCUGUUGCAAUUUCAGCUGCUCAUCAAAACUGUUUUAACUCAAAAGAAAUUCUCCAAUGUUCAAUAUAGAAAUAUGUUCCUAACCUCACAA